AUGGAGGUCGGGGGGUAGGCGAUGAUGGAGCCCCAGGGAGUGGAACUCGAGGAUGACAGCAUCGAUUUCUGGGCCUCCCUCGGCGUGAGCACCCAUGUCCAUGGCGUCGACCAGAUGGCGCUCCACAGUGUGCACAUUCUUGACCACCAAGGACAAUCGCUGCCACCGGCAGUGGUCUCACACCCAGAGUCUGUCUGUAAGGAGUUGUUCCCUGUUGAAGCCGACCCCUGCCUUGAGCCCCGGGUGGGGAUGGAAUUCGAGUCGGGCGAGGCUGCCAAGACCUUCUAUAUUGCUUAUGCUGGCCGUGUUGGGUUUUCGGUCCGCAUCGCUCGGUCCCGUAAGUCCAAGUGCAGUGAGUCCAUCAUCAUGCUAAGGUUUGUUUGCUCAAAGGAAGGGUUCAGCAAGGAGAAGCGUGUUGUUGAAGGGAAGAAGACAAGGAAGAGGCUAGCCUCCAUCAGGGAAGGCUGCAAUGCCAUGCUUGAGGUUCUCCGCAGAGGCGACAACAAGUGGGUUGCCACCAAGCUUGUUAAGGAGCAUAACCAUGAGGUUGGGAUGCCCAGCACAGUGCACUAUAUAGCCACUGAGAGCGAUACUAUGGUUGACCCAUACAUUGACAUGGAGUUUGAAUCCCUUGAGUCUGCCAAGACAUUCUACUACUCGUAUGCUAUCCGUGCAGGAUUUGAAGUUCGCGUGCGCCAGUCUCGGAAAUCACAAGAUGAGUCACUCAAGAUGCUGAAGCUUGUGUGCUCAAGGCACCGCUACCAUUCAGGACGGGAGAACAAUGGAGACGAUACCAAGAGAGAUCCCUCCAGAGACGGUUGUAAUGCACUGUUUGAGAUAAUUCGGAAGGACAAAGGUGUCUGGAGGGUCUCCAAACUCAUCCUAGAGCACAGUCAUGAGCUGAACCCUGCACCAGCAAGCAGCGUUUGUUGUGUCCGCUCACAAGGUGAGGUACUUGUCAUUGCAAAGAACUUUGCUGACACACGGAAUCUUCUAUUGAAUGGCCAAGAUUCUCAGCCUCAUAGAGAGAUCCGGUACAAUGAUCUAGGGCCAGAGGAUGCUCAAAGCCUACUUGAAUAUCUUAAAAAGGUACAGGCUGAGGACCCUGCAUUUUUCUAUGCUGUGCAGCUUGACAAGCAUGAGGACACGGUCAAUAUCUUCUGGGCUGAUGCGAGCGCUAGGAUGGCUUAUUACCAUUUUGGUGACGCUGUUAGGUUUGAGACAGCAUACAGGAGCAACAAGGAGCAUAUACCCAUUGUCAUAUUUUCAGGUGUCAAUCAUCAUGUGCAGCCUGUUAUUUUUGGCUGUGCACUACUUGUUGAUGAAUCUGAAGAAUCAUUUGUAUGGUUAUUUGAAAAAUGGCUUGAAGCAAUGCAUGUGAGGCCUCCUGUUUCUUUCGUAACAGAGCUGAACCAAGAGAUGGCAGCUGCAGCUGCCAAGGUAUUACCUGACACCUGUCAUAUUUUCUGUGAAAAGCAUAUAUUAGGUACUGUCAAGGAGGAGUUGCAUAGUAUUUAUCCAGGACUAGACCAUUUCAUAACUGAUCUGAGAAAGUGCAUUGAUGGAUGCAGAAUAGAAGAAUCAUUUGAAUCAUGUUGGGAAUCAGUUCUCAUAAAACAUGGCUUUAGAAAUAAUGAACAUUUACAGUCUCUUUAUGAUAUUCGUGAACGAUGGGCCCCUGCAUACACAAAGCAAUCAUUUCAUGCCAGAAACCUGCUUGCACAAAGCUGUCAAAAUCUUGAAAAGAUUAUAGAUACAUACUUCUCGUCCAAGACCCAGUUAGUGGUGGCUGUGCAGCAACUUGAACAAGCUAUUUGUAAUUUCCAUGCGAAAGAAGCCCAGGUGGAUUAUCUGACAAUGUUUCAACCACCAGCACUGAGGACUGCUUCACCAGUGGAGAAACAAGCAGGUUUAGUAUUUUCUAGGAAAGUGUUUGAUAUAUUUCAGGAACAAUUUGCGGAGUCCUUUGGGUACCAUGCAGAGAGGCUCGAGGAUAGGAUGCUACACAAGUACCGCCUGACAGUAGAUGAUGGUGACGAGGAGGCACAUAUCGUCUCUUUCAGUCCAGAUCAAAGUACAGUGUGCUGUAGUUGUUGCUUAUUCGAGAGCUGUGGAAUCUUGUGCAGGCAUGCUCUUCGAGUUUUCAUCAUCGAAGGAGUGCGUUUCCUUCCAAAGGCCUAUGUCUUGAAACGCUGGACAAAGCAUGCAAAAAGUACUGUCACCCUGGAUAACUACAUUGAACUAAGGGGAUACUGUGAGGACCCUUCGACUUCAAGGUACAAUGAUCUUUGCUAUGAUGCAAACAAAUGUGCAAAAGAGGGCUCAACAUCCACUGAGCGCUAUAAAAUUGCUAAAGAGGCACUGUGCAAGGCUCUUGAUGAAAUAAUGCCUACAAGGAAUAUUAGAGAGCAAAAUUCACAAAACUGUACAACAUCAUUAAGAAGUCCAGUCAAGAAACUUGGGACAUCUAAAGGUACCUCUGGCAAGAGCAUAAAGAGGCCAGCAUUCAAAAAUUCCCUUGUGGAGAGCAAUGGCAGUAGAUGA
rnacentral:rRNA from 1 species